GACGAACGCUGGCGGCGUGCUUAACACAUGCAAGUCGAGCGGUAAGGCCCUUUCGGGGGUACGACGAGCGGCGAACGGGUGAGUAACACGUGGGUGACCUGCCCUCAGCUCUGGGAUAAGCCUGGGAAACCGGGUCUAAUACUGGAUAUGACUCCAUGACGCAUGUUGUGGGGUGGAAAGCCUUGUGCGGCUGAGGAUGGGCCCGCGGCCUAUCAGCUUGUUGGUGGGGUGAGGCCUACCAAGGCGACGACGGGUAGCCGGCCUGAGAGGGCGACCGGCCACACUGGGACUGAGACACGGCCCAGACUCCUACGGGAGGCAGCAGUGGGGAAUCUUGCGCAAUGGGCGAAAGCCUGACGCAGCGACGCCGCGUGAGGGAGUGACGG
rnacentral:rRNA from 1 species